GGGAUUUUCAUCAGAAUUUGAGCAAGACUAAAAGAACAUUUAGGAGUUAGUUGAUGCAUAGUGUCAGAUAAAUAAAGUUUUCCAAAACUAGACACUGGUCUAUAGCAGGUAACAUUCUCAAAUGAUAAGGUACCUAUUCUUGGGAGCCGCAAGAUGAAAU